ACCAUGCAAAGAGCCUGGACUGUUCCUGUCACUUACCCACUCUAGGCCACUAAAACGAAGGUGAUAACACCUGCCUGGCUGGUUCUGAGAAAGAGAGAAGAUGGAUAAUGUGUGUGAAGGACCUGUCACAAUCCCAGGUAAAAAGAAGCAAGAAUGAAGAAUUAAGCAGUUAAACAUGACUAGCUCUCCACCGCCAACAGCUCUACUAGCAAUCCUGCAGGCACAUCCCUCAGCAAGAUCACACCUGAAGGGUCGACCAGUCUGCAUACAAUGGAGAAGGAUGCCGACCCCAAUCUCCAGCCUCAAAGAUUCUCUGAGGUUCUCCCCCGCCAUCAUUUUUCCCUUUAAAAAUUGUCACGACUGAGCAGAAUCUUCUGAGUUGGUCUCUGGACACAAGUCUAUUGUCUCCUCAGAUUGCCCGCUUUUCAGAGGAAAACACCUCUCCUUUCUACUGACCUCACCUCUUGAAUCACUGCCUUCUGAGGGGUGAGCAGCCGAACCCAGAUUAAAACAAGUAAGAAUGAAGAAUGAAGUAGUUAAGGAAUAACCAGCUCUCUACCCUCAACAGCUCCCUUAGCAAUCCCGCAGGCUGGCAGGCUGAUCACCUGGGCAAGAUCCCGUUGGAAGACAGACGGAGUCAGCCAGUCUGCACGCAAUGGAGGAUGAUGCAGAAUCCAACCUCCUGCCUCACUGAUUCACUGAGAUUCUUUCCUUUUUUCCCUUCAAAAGGUGUCAGGGCUGAACAGAAUCUCUAUAGCUGGUCUCAGGACGUAAAUCCAUCUUCUCCCCAGAUUGCUGACUUUUCUAAGUCAAGUAUCUUUCCUUUCUCCCUAUAUUUGCCUCUUGAUUAUUGGCUUUGGAGUGUGGUAAUAUAAUCAGGUUUAGAUUGGGUUAUGAAAGUAGGACCUUUCUGAUAGGAUCAGUGCCCUUAGAGGAAGGGGAGAGGGAUCUCUCUCCAGUCACAAGCAAGGCCAGUGAGCACACAGAGGUAGGGUGGACACCUGCAAUCUGGAAGCCAAUCUGCUGGCACUAUCUUCCAGCAUCCAGAACUGUGAGAAAUAAGGUCUGCUGUUGAAGCCCCCUGUGUGUAGUAUUUUAUUAUAGCAGCCUGAACUGACUGAGAUACUUGGUAACACAUGAAUGCUAGCUACUUUGAUCAUUUAUGAAAUUUGGAGAUUAACAGCUGUUUUAUCUUAUUCAGUUGACCCUGAAAUAUAUUUUCUUUAUAUUAAAAUAUAUUUUCUUUAUAUUAAAACAAUUUAUAUUAA
rnacentral:lncRNA from 1 species